rnacentral:rRNA from 1 species
GAUGAACGCUAGCUACAGGCUUAACACAUGCAAGUCGAGGGGAAACGGCAUUGAGUGCUUGCACUCUUUGGACGUCGACCGGCGCACGGGUGAGUAACGCGUAUCCAACCUUCCCAUUACUGUGGGAUAACCUGCCGAAAGGCAGACUAAUACCGCAUAGUCUUCGAUGACGGCAUCAGUUUUGAAGUAAAGAGUUAUCGGUAAUGGAGGGGGAUGCGUCUGAUUAGCUUGUUGGCGGGGUAACGGCCCACCAAGGCUACGAUCAGUAGGGGUUCUGAGAGGAAGGUCCCCCAGAUUGGAACUGGGACACGGUCCAAACUCCUACGGGAGGCAGCAGUGAGGAAGAUAGGGCAAUGGACGGAAGUCUGAACCAGCCAAGUAGCGUGCAGGAUGACCGCCCUAUGGGUUGUAAACUGCUUUUGUAUGGGGAUAAAGUUAGGGACGGGUCCCUAUUUGCAGGUACCAUACGAAUAAGGACCGGCUAAUUCCGUG